CCCACAUAUAUGGAAUAUUCUCCCGAAAGGUACAUAAUAAAGGCUAGUUGAACACAAAUCUUAAUGUUUAAGAAGAUAAAUGAUGCAGCCGAUCCGAGUAAUUAAGAUAUACAUCCAGCUAUGCCAUGAUUUUAAUACGCCAAAGAACAUACAUAUAGUGAGAACUGAAAACAAUAUCACGGAAAAAAAUAACUAAAAAAAAGUAGUUGUUAUUAUUAUUAGUAGUAGUAGUAGUAGGACAAAGAGAGACAAGAACGUGAAAAGCAAUAGUAAGUUGACUUGAACUUAGGGGAAAAAAGAAGAAGAACGUGGUUUGAUUGAAGUAUGGACAGCGAGGCAAAGAAAUUAAGGCAAAUGGCAUGAGAUCGAAGAAAAUUAAGGAGACUGAGUCAGUCAGGCAGAUCAGCAAAGACCAAGCCGGGGAGUGUUGCGGAUGCCACCACAUGAACAGCAUCUGAACUAAUCAUGUGACUUUGUGUCAGAUCAAGGUGACAUGACACGCAUACAAAGUUACAAGCCCAACACGCCUUCUUGUUUGCUACUUUAUUAAUUUUUCCUUUUUUUCAGUUUUGUCACUUUUGUUCCCUUUCGCAAAUUUCACUCUUUUCCAACACUUGUUUUUCGUCUUUAUCAUUGCAUGUGUACCCCCACACAACAUCCCCCACCUUCCACCCUGUCUCUUUCAUAUAUCUGUCUCUCUUUCAGCACCACCUCUCAUCAUCAUCACCACCUUCUCAAUUACCCUCUCCACGCCUCCUAGAGAUCUCUCUCCCAAAAAACUAAAAUUGUCCAUUCAAUUUCAAUUUGCCACUAUUAAUUUCUAUCCAAAGUGAAUUGAAUUCCCUCUUAAUUUCCUCAAAUGGGUCUCGAAAUCUUAGAAGAAUUUCGGCCAAUUACACCCAUAAGAACCGUUGUUCCUACGGUUAGAACAACCUUAAAACACGAUCUAGGAACAACAACAACAACAACAAAGGAGGUGCUAAACGAGGAUGUUGUAAUUGAAGAAGAGUGCCACACACCCACAUCACCCUCUCAAAAAUUACCCACCAACCCAUUGGUGUGCCCUCCAGCUCCCAAGAAACCACGAGUAGUGCCUCGAAGACUUAAGAAUUUAGACCCACCAUCACAAGAAGGGUUCUUCCAAGUGCCCCACGAUCUGGCUUCAGUCUUCGUCCUACGCUCACCCAGCCUUCCAAGAAGAACAGCAAAGCAAGCUUUUUUCUAGGCACUUCCACAUAUUCUAUAAUAUCCGAUCGAGCCGAGGAAAAUUACUAUGGAUGAUAAAUCUUUCUCUCCGGUAUUUAACUGAACUGGAUAGACAGACUCAAACUCGAUGGUAUAUAUGAAUUUAAUUAUAUGUGUUAAUUAAUAUAAAGUAUUUUAAUUAUCACCAGGUGUAUAUUAAUUGUUUGUUUUUCUUCUCUAUAGUUGUUCCUAGAAAUUCUCAAUUCCUUAUGUUGUUAUGAAUAGUUUCAAGUGUAGGAAAUUAAUUGAUCUACUUAGUUGUAAUUAGUAAAUGGUGCGUAAUGAUCCAUCCCUCAUUUCUGCAUCUAACUGUAUUAAUGGUAAUGAAUUCAAGCACAUUAUUGUUUGUGAUAGAU